UGCAGCACCUUCUUCCUCCAUCCCAGCCGCUGCCACACGCCAUGGCGAACAAAAGCACGAGUAAAAGAGGGAGGAAAGUCAGGCAAAAAAAUUGGAUAACGCAUCCAAUCUUGUCUGCAACUCUUCCUUGCGGAUCAGGCAAUAAACUGGGAAAAUGACGGCAAGAAUUUGCUAGAGACUGGGCAAAUUUUUCUCCGGAAAACCGAGAUGUGCAGAUGGUUGGUCUUGAUCUCAAUAAGCUUCCUGAUGAUUGCUAAUUGUGACGGUGGCUCGCUAUACUGCCCAAGCCCCACCCGAAGGGGUCCUAUUUCUACCGGGGGAGUGGCCGACUCGCCGGAUUUGCUUUUUGCUCCGGUCCAAGAUGUGCUAGGUGUGAAGUUUUGUUUUGUGGUUGCUGCUACUACUGGUGCAUCUUAUGCGACAGAAAUUGGCACUAUCACACCCGCCCCUGCCAUGUUUAGUCCGGGUGCAAUUCUGCCUAGCCAUGGUGAGCAUGGAGUUUGACACGCUUGCAGGAGCUUAGACACACUACAAUGCCUACGCUCUCACACGUGGGUUUUCGAUGAAAGAGAACACCUCUAGGAGGUCUAUGA